AGCUGUUGCAAAUGUAGGGUAGCACAUGCUAAUUUCAACUAUUUUCACUGGGGCUCAGCUGAUGCAUGGCAGCCAUUAAGCCAAAGUAGCUCAGUCACAUGUCUGAAAUCUGAUUUAAGGAAUCUGGGUUCAUCUUGGUUCAGGAAGUGGAUCACUAGGUUUCUGCUCAGUUUGUAACUUCUUGGGACAGCCGUUUCAUCUUGGGUUUUCUCAUGUGUUUAAACUGUAGUAAUGGUGCCAGCUCACAAAUAUGAAAUGUUCUGAGGAAAGUGAAAAGAAAAGGGAAUGUUAUGACAGGAUGUUUGGAUUUUAUUGACUAAAAGUGUGGAGGAUGUUGAACUUUGGCAGAACUAAAUGCAAGUUUUUAUUCUUAUCCCCAUUAAUAUUUGAGUAAAUCCAAUGUGUUUAAAGGAGUUUUGCUGGUAGGAACAAGGGCAGACUCUUGCUGAAGUGAUCUGGCCUUCUAUUGGCAAGCACACAUAAUCUCAGCUGAGAUCUGCCACAUUUCAUGGGAAACGCUGAGGAAAGGAUGGAAAAUCAGGAAAUGUGAAUUUUAUUUACCACUUGCUAACUUUAGGACUUUAAAAAGUAUCAUAUGUCCCUAUCCUCUCAGGAAAGUGGUACUCUAAGCAUUGUGCCAGUUCUCCAAGUGACAGAUGCUCUUUGAGGACUUGAAGAUAAUAGACUCACAAACUUCAACGAAAGUCGUCUGACACCACUCCUGUGUGCAUUUACAGUGGAUGCUAACAUGGAACGGCAGAGCAAGAUUUGAAGCUCUGGAUUUGGGGUCCUCCCUUGUAAAUAUAUGCAGCCUUUGCCUAGUUAUUCAUCAGACUAAAGAUUUUCAAAAGAGCUGUGCUAGCCCCCUCAGCUACUGCUUCUGGGCUGGCAGAAGCAGCUGUCUCUUACCAUUAUGCCUGGAGGAAGCGGUGGCAUUUGCCAGCAACUCCCUUUGUGUCAAACUCAUUUUCUACAUUCUCUUAUUUCAUUUGCAUAGUCAACUGGUCCUUAUGCCUCAAGAAAAUCAGGAGAGCAUGUGAGGAAUAAGUUGUUAGAAAUGGAGGUGCAUGAACAGACGUCAUUAUAUUCCCGACAGAUCUGCCAGCUCACGAGAACAUAACACCAGAGAGAGACUCUCUGUACUCACAGUUGACAGUACUAAAAUAAAGAAGGCAGCUCCCCCGCUCCCUCGCGUUUCAGGAAAUCAUUGUGUAAAUGCAGUGAAAUAUAUCCGUGAGCCCUCUCUUCACUGUGAUGCCCUUCUGGUGGACAGGGCUUAUUGAUGUCAGGA